UACGUAGGGUGCAAGCGUUGUCCGGAAUUAUUGGGCGUAAAGAGCUCGUAGGCGGUCUGUCGCGUCUGCUGUGAAAACCUGGGGCUUAACCCUGGGCUUGCAGUGGGUACGGGCAGACUAGAGUGCGGUAGGGGAGACUGGAAUUCCUGGUGUAGCGGUGAAAUGCGCAGAUAUCAGGAGGAACACCGGUGGCGAAGGCGGGUCUCUGGGCCGUAACUGACGCUGAGGAGCGAAAGCAUGGGUAGCGAACAGG
rnacentral:rRNA from 1 species